GAUGAACGCUAGCUACAGGCUUAACACAUGCAAGUCGAGGGGAAACGAUAUUGGAAGCUUGCUUCCGAUAGGCGUCGACCGGCGCACGGGUGAGUAACGCGUAUCCAACCUGCCCAUCACUUGGGGAUAACCUUGCGAAAGUAAGACUAAUACCCGAUGAUAUCCCUAGAAGACAUCCGAAUGGGAUUAAAGAUUUAUCGGUGAUGGAUGGGGAUGCGUCUGAUUAGCUUGUUGGCGGGGUAACGGCCCACCAAGGCAACGAUCAGUAGGGGUUCUGAGAGGAAGGUCCCCCACAUUGGAACUGAGACACGGUCCAAACUCCUACGGGAGGCAGCAGUGAGGAAUAUUGGUCAAUGGGCGAGAGCCUGAACCAGCCAAGUAGCGUGCAGGACGACGGCCCUAUGGGUUGUAAACUGCUUUUAUAAGGGAUAAAGUGAGUCUCGUGAGACUUUUUGCAUGUACCUUAUGAAUAAGGACCGGCUAAUUCCGUG
rnacentral:rRNA from 1 species